AUGUACUUCAUAUGUUAUGUAAUACAUUGUUUCUUGUGAAUUUCUUUUUCAAAGGAAAACAUGCGGCAAAUUAGGAGAUGGUGGUGUCUUGUUCUGCUGCAACACUUCCCCAUGCCGUCUGAGGAAGACAGAGUGCAGGCACGAAAAAGACGGAGAGAGGAAAGAGUAAAACAGGGCCUGGAAGUGGUCCCUCCUAAGAAGUCCUGCCAUACUGAAAUAGUCU